AACGAACGCUGGCGGCAGGCUUAACACAUGCAAGUCGAGCGCCCCGCAAGGGGAGCGGCAGACGGGUGAGUAACGCGUGGGAAUCUACCCAGCUCUACGGAAUAACUCAGGGAAACUUGUGCUAAUACCGUAUACGUCCUCCGGGAGAAAGAUUUAUCGGAGCUGGAUGAGCCCGCGUUGGAUUAGCUAGUUGGUGGGGUAAUGGCCCACCAAGGCGACGAUCCAUAGCUGGUCUGAGAGGAUGAUCAGCCACAUUGGGACUGAGACACGGCCCAAACUCCUACGGGAGGCAGCAGUGGGGAAUAUUGGACAAUGGGCCAAAGCCUGAUCCAGCCAUGCCGCGUGAGUGAUGAAGGCCCUAGGGUUGUAAAGCUCUUUCACCGGUGAAGAUAAUGACGGUAACCGGAGAAGAAGCCCCGGCUAACUUCGUGCCAGCCGCCGCGGUAA
rnacentral:rRNA from 1 species